rnacentral:rRNA from 1 species
CGUAGGGGGCAAGCGUUGUCCGGAUUUAUUGGGCGUAAAGCGCUCGCAGGUGGUUCGUCGCGUCGUGCGUGAAAGACCCCGGCUCAACUGGGGAGGGUCGUGCGAUACGGGCGAACUGGAGGCCAGUAGGGGGAUGCGGAAUUCCGGGUGUAGUGGUGGAAUGCGUAGAGAUCCGGAGGAACACCAGCGGCGAAGGCGGCAUCCUGGACUGGUCCUGACACUCAUGAGCGAAAGCGUGGGGAGCGAUCCGGAUUAGAUACCCGGGUAGUCCACGCUGUAAACGAUGCGCACUAGGUGUCGGGGGUAUCGACCCCCUCGGUGCCGCAGCUAACGCGAUAAGUGCGCCGCCUGGGGACUACGGCCGCAAGGCUA